UAAGCGUCGGUAAGGUGAUAUGAACCGUUAUAACCGGCGAUUUCCGAAUGGGGAAACCCAGUGUGAUUCGUCACACUAUCAUUAACUGAAUCCAUAGGUUAAUGAGGCGAACCGGGGGAACUGAAACAUCUAAGUACCCCGAGGAAAAGAAAUCAACCGAGAUUCCCCCAGUAGCGGCGAGCGAACGGGGAGGAGCCCAGAGCCUGAAUCAGUGUGUGUGUUAGUGGAAGCGUCUGGAAAGGCGCGCGAUACAGGGUGACAGCCCCGUACACAAAAAUGCACAUGCUGUGAGCUCGAUGAGUAGGGCGGGACACGUGGUAUCCUGUCUGAAUAUGGGGGGACCAUCCUCCAAGGCUAAAUACUCCUGACUGACCGAUAGUGAACCAGUACCGUGAGGGAAAGGCGAAAAGAACCCCGGCGAGGGGAGUGAAAAAGAACCUGAAACCGUGUACGUACAAGCAGUGGGAGCACAGAGCAAUCUGUGUGACUGCGUACCUUUUGUAUAAUGGGUCAGCGACUUAUAUUCUGUAGCAAGGUUAACCGAAUAGGGGAGCCGAAGGGAAACCGAGUCUUAACUGGGCGUUAAGUUGCAGGGUAUAGACCCGAAACCCGGUGAUCUAGCCAUGGGCAGGUUGAAGGUUGGGUAACACUAACUGGAGGACCGAACCGACUAAUGUUGAAAAAUUAGCGGAUGACUUGUGGCUGGGGGUGAAAGGCCAAUCAAACCGGGAGAUAGCUGGUUCUCCCCGAAAGCUAUUUAGGUAGCGCCUCGUGAAUUCAUCUCCGGGGGUAGAGCACUGUUUCGGCAAGGGGGUCAUCCCGACUUACCAACCCGAUGCAAACUGCGAAUACCGGAGAAUGUUAUCACGGGAGACACACGGCGGGUGCUAACGUCCGUCGUGAAGAGGGAAACAACCCAGACCGCCAGCUAAGGUCCCAAAGUCAUGGUUAAGUGGGAAACGAUGUGGGAAGGCCCAGACAGCCAGGAUGUUGGCUUAGAAGCAGCCAUCAUUUAAAGAAAGCGUAAUAGCUCACUGGUCGAGUCGGCCUGCGCGGAAGAUGUAACGGGGCUAAACCAUGCACCGAAGCUGCGGCAGCGACACUAUGUGUUGUUGGGUAGGGGAGCGUUCUGUAAGCCUGUGAAGGUGUGCUGUGAGGCAUGCUGGAGGUAUCAGAAGUGCGAAUGCUGACAUAAGUAACGAUAAAGCGGGUGAAAAGCCCGCUCGCCGGAAGACCAAGGGUUCCUGUCCAACGUUAAUCGGGGCAGGGUGAGUCGACCCCUAAGGCGAGGCCGAAAGGCGUAGUCGAUGGGAAACAGGUUAAUAUUCCUGUACUUGGUGUUACUGCGAAGGGGGGACGGAGAAGGCUAUGUUGGCCGGGCGACGGUUGUCCCGGUUUAAGCGUGUAGGCUGGUUUUCCAGGCAAAUCCGGAAAAUCAAGGCUGAGGCGUGAUGACGAGGCACUACGGUGCUGAAGCAACAAAUGCCCUGCUUCCAGGAAAAGCCUCUAAGCAUCAGGUAACAUCAAAUCGUACCCCAAACCGACACAGGUGGUCAGGUAGAGAAUACCAAGGCGCUUGAGAGAACUCGGGUGAAGGAACUAGGCAAAAUGGUGCCGUAACUUCGGGAGAAGGCACGCUGAUAUGUAGGUGAAGCGACUUGCUCGUGGAGCUGAAAUCAGUCGAAGAUACCAGCUGGCUGCAACUGUUUAUUAAAAACACAGCACUGUGCAAACACGAAAGUGGACGUAUACGGUGUGACGCCUGCCCGGUGCCGGAAGGUUAAUUGAUGGGGUCAGCGCAAGCGAAGCUCUUGAUCGAAGCCCCGGUAAACGGCGGCCGUAACUAUAACGGUCCUAAGGUAGCGAAAUUCCUUGUCGGGUAAGUUCCGACCUGCACGAAUGGCGUAAUGAUGGCCAGGCUGUCUCCACCCGAGACUCAGUGAAAUUGAACUCGCUGUGAAGAUGCAGUGUACCCGCGGCAAGACGGAAAGACCCCGUGAACCUUUACUAUAGCUUGACACUGAACAUUGAGCCUUGAUGUGUAGGAUAGGUGGGAGGCUUUGAAGUGUGGACGCCAGUCUGCAUGGAGCCGACCUUGAAAUACCACCCUUUAAUGUUUGAUGUUCUAACGUUGACCCGUAAUCCGGGUUGCGGACAGUGUCUGGUGGGUAGUUUGACUGGGGCGGUCUCCUCCUAAAGAGUAACGGAGGAGCACGAAGGUUGGCUAAUCCUGGUCGGACAUCAGGAGGUUAGUGCAAUGGCAUAAGCCAGCUUGACUGCGAGCGUGACGGCGCGAGCAGGUGCGAAAGCAGGUCAUAGUGAUCCGGUGGUUCUGAAUGGAAGGGCCAUCGCUCAACGGAUAAAAGGUACUCCGGGGAUAACAGGCUGAUACCGCCCAAGAGUUCAUAUCGACGGCGGUGUUUGGCACCUCGAUGUCGGCUCAUCACAUCCUGGGGCUGAAGUAGGUCCCAAGGGUAUGGCUGUUCGCCAUUUAAAGUGGUACGCGAGCUGGGUUUAGAACGUCGUGAGACAGUUCGGUCCCUAUCUGCCGUGGGCGCUGGAGAACUGAGGGGGGCUGCUCCUAGUACGAGAGGACCGGAGUGGACGCAUCACUGGUGUUCGGGUUGUCAUGCCAAUGGCACUGCCCGGUAGCUAAAUGCGGAAGAGAUAAGUGCUGAAAGCAUCUAAGCACGAAACUUGCCCCGAGAUGAGUUCUCCCUGACUCCUUGAGAGUCCUGAAGGAACGUUGAAGACGACGACGUUGAUAGGCCGGGUGUGUAAGCGCAGCGAUGCGUUGAGCUAACCGGUACUAAUGAACCGUGAGG
rnacentral:rRNA from 1 species